AAGGGCUCAGGGAAACCUCGGCCGGCUCCGAGCUGUCGGCACCCCGGCCCCACGCCGAAGCACAGCGGCCGUCACGCUCCUGCUCCUCGUCCUCUCCAUCCCCUACACACGCACAUGCCCACACCACGCACGUUUCGCUACGGCGCCUGGACAUCAGGCGCUGGGUGAGAUCUCAAGCGCUGUUUUCUACCUAGGGAGCAAAUCGGUCAACUGAACUGUGCUUCCCUUGUAUCUCAUUGUGUGCCAGAGUGAACGGUCACUGGUGUCCGCUUCCAGAUGUCCCCGAGUUCUCGCAAGCAACAAAGAAGAAAAACCAGCCUAUGUUUAUAGCUGAGAGAAAUCUUUGGCUGCAGGUCACACCACAGAUGAUGAAAACUAUUUGGCGGCCUGCAAGGGCUGUCAGUGCUGUUGCAGGUCAGCAGCUCAGCAGGAAGACACCGGCUGUUCCUGUUUGCUGGAGGGAUCGCAGCUUCUGAAGAUUCCCUUUUAGACUCAGAGGUUUGUUCACUGCCUUCUUGACGUCUGAUUUCCUGUUUUCUUUGCUGCCUGCUGAGUAGGAAACUUAGGACAGACCUAAGUGGGGAAUAGUUUGCCAUGCUAUUAUACUCUACCAGCAAAAUACGUGAUUUUGUAGCUGUACCUUAAACCUUUAAGCUUCUGCUGGAAGAGUUUAUUCCAGCCUUUCUUGGAUGAAACGCUGUGCUGGCAAAAGUGCAAUUCUGCUGGUAUAAAUUAUUCUGUGCUAGGAGCUUUCGCCAACAUUGCUGUGUUGAUCAGGCAUCAUGCCUCCUUAUACUUCUGCCUGAAAUGGCUGAGUCAGCCCAAGUCUGUAAUGUAGACACGUGGAAUAUUCUAAAGGUCUUCCAGUUAUUUUACUUCAUAGGAAUUAUAAUAAUUACAUAUUAGCGGCCAGGGGCAGAAGAAUAUUUCCAAAGUGGGAGAGAUCCCUUAAUAAUUCAGUAACAAUUAUGAACAAUGUGAUAGUUUUCAAUCUCAAUCUCAACACAAUUCCCUGUAUUUUCUUCCCACUGCCCUGUGGUUCUGGUCAAAUCAGCAGACGUCAGCUACAAUUUAGCAACAAAAAACACAUCAUUCUAAUUUGGAGGGAGGAGUUGGUUUUGUUUUCUCUACCAUGGUUCUAAAAGAGCAUUCUGCACUACUGAUUUUCCAUGACUCGUUUAAAGUUUUUAAUCAGACUUUGUUCAUUAAUUUAUUUUUCUAACCUAUUCUCUUCACUCUUCCUCUCAAACCUCUUGUGUUUUCUAGAAUUCAACAAAACACUGAGCAUGAAUUUUUGGGCUGACAGAAAUUACUUUUCUCAGGAAAGGGUCACACUGGUUUUCUAAUUAUUUCUAUUUCAAAUAAAUUUCCUGUUAACUACAGUUACAGGAAAUAAAUGCAAAUCUGUUGCACACUGGUUUCCUAACUCAAGCACUUUGCAUUCCGCAGCUAAUAAUAGUUGACAAUUUUCAAUUGACAACUUACUUCCUCCCCAGCAUCAUUUAUGGAGAGCGUCAAGGAGAAGACUGUCAGGGAGAGAAAUAAAUGUUUGCAAAGGCAGCCGGCCUGGCCUGACUUCCUGCAAAGCUGCCUUCCUGCAGCCUCUGCGGCGUGGGGUGCCUCCCUCGCUGCCCGGUACAGAUGGUUUCCUGCGAUAGCUCUUCCUGGGCACCACUGCUUGCAGGGUACCAGAGCCACACUUCUUUGUGCAGUGCGGUAGCCGGCAGCUUGAGCUGCUUGUUUCCACCGUGCUUUCCCUUCAUGCUCUGGUAACCCCCUUGCCUCUUUGCUUCUCCAUUGUAACUGAAGGAUAGUAGGACACGUUGCUAUUGCUGCAAGUCUUCACGUCUUUUCUACCAAGAGUUUUGUUCCUCCUCAUGUUCUUGUAGCUUUACAAGCCAAAUAAAAUUUAGUAUGGGACUGCUUGCUUGCUUGCUGCUGUAACAUAAGCAUUAUGGUCAGACAAAAGGCAAUUCCUUAAUUUAACAGCAAAAAUGCUCUCUUCACAACAAUGCAAGCCAUUCUACACUAUUCUCUUUAUGAAAGCCUGGGACUGGCUGGAAGUGGGAGAGAUGUCUCUCUGCCACCAAGCAUAACCAUGAUUAAAAUAUAUCAAAGGGACGUUUGGACUCUGUAACAACAUACAAUGUAACAGAGAUUAUAAAACCACCUUUCAAUGAUAUGCAGUCCACACUUUGCUUUUCAGAUGUCAGUAUCUGGGUUUCCUUGGCUGUUCUUCAGCCAUUUCUUCCACAUGCUUUUCCCAGGGCUGUGGGUUCACGACAACUCUCCAGCGUGUUGUAAUCAAGUCUGUAGGUACUGCUACUGAGAUUGGAGCAGAGCAAUAGCUAUGCUUUUGUUCCUUCAGAUUCAGGAGCGGUACCCACACCCUGUUGUGGCUGAAGGAGGAUCAUCCAGUAGAGAGACAUCGGUACAGUGGGGAAACAUGCCUAAUACCGAACCACAGACAUUUAGGGCUACAAGUCUUGCGCUGACAUUGAAUUUUAUAUUAUUAGUCUUCCCACAAUGAUUUUACAUGUUGAAACAAAAUGUGAGCAUAGAAUAUACAUCCUCAUUUCUGCUUUGAUAGUGCAAAUCUGGUUGAGAUCUUGAUCUGUAGUCUAACUACAUUUAAGAUCCUCAGGUUGCUUUUCAACCCAGCCCAGAUGGACGCAGAGGAUUUUGCCGACAAUGAGAUCCUGAAGAGAAAUGAUUUUGGUAAGGGUGACUUCCGUUAGGUGAAAACCAAACCAUAGAAGCUCUGCAAAACCCUGCACUGGUGAAACUCAAUCGCAGUUCUUUCCACUUGUAUUCUAAACAUCAGGCUCUGCCAAUAGUAGGGGGAAAUAAGAUCAUGUCUAUGAAUAAAUACUAGUAAAUAUAGUGUCUUGACUACCUUGUCAGGAAUAAUUCCUCUUCAGUUGAAGGUUAUCCAGAAAUUCUUAAAUUGCUGACUGUAGAUAUAUAGCUUGAGGGCUUCUUCACUUUCACUUCACUUACAUACACAAGGCAAGCCCAAAUCUAAAAUUUCCCUCAAUUACUUUCAGCACAGAGGAAAAGGAUCUCCACCCCUAUAACAAACUAAAGCUGCAAAGGUGUGCUGUAAUUGAUGCCAGGUGGAUGGCCUUAUCCAUUAACAAAUACUAUCUGGAUGCUUUGCUGGCUCUGAACUAGGUUUGUACCUUCCCAGUCUUUCCUUUUUAGAAGAAAUAAUUGGCUAACAUAUUUACAUAUUGCAAAAAUUGGAGAAAAGAGAGAGCAUCUGACAGUUUUCUACCAAAAUCAAUAUUGUCAGUUCAUCUUGAGGAGAAUGUGUUAUUACAUAUGUUACAGAACUAUUUACCAAGACUAUUUCAGCUUUAAUAAGCUUUGAGGGUUAUCAUGUUACUUCCUAGACAGCUUAGGCAAAAUUGACUCUAUUUUUGUACAGUCCUGGUUUAUACUCCUAAGCUUAAGAGUAACUGCUGCAAUACCUCUUGGGUAAGUAAUAAAACUCCUUGAUCCACAGAAACGAGUUGUGUAUUCCCUACCCUACUGCUGUGCUUCUGCCAUGAGUUGGAGAGAAAUCCUCAUUUAGAAAGACUUCCAAAACAGCUCUUCUGUCAGCGGUCCCUUGCUUAACAGGUCUGCAGACACAAGUAACAGGGCUUUGCCACCUGUCCAGAGGCUGAUUCCACACUUUCAGAAUUUAAAGUGAGUUUAAUCAUGCUCUCAGCUGCACCAUAUUUAACUCAAAUGUAUAAUUCCUUGUGUAUAAGUGCAUAUAUAUCAAUAAUAAAAGGACAACUGUUGCUUUGUGCAACAAAGGUAUUUGGAAGUUUGACAAUUUUUCUCAGCUUGAGCUGGAACAGAAAGUCUAAACCUCAGCUUUUAAAAAAUUGCUAGGAUGUUGAAACAAUUUAAGUAAUUUUGAGACAUCUAUUUUUAAUCACAGCUUUUAAACCUUUUUUUUUGCUAUAAAUUUAUUCAUGUUUAGAAAAUACGGAAAUGAGAUAGCUGGGUAAUUUUUGUGUUGAUUUUGAAUAGGAAGUCCUGCUGGAGUAACUGUUACUAGUUGCUCCCAAAGGAGAUACCAGUAUCAGUAGAUACUGUCAAUAUUUUUGACCUUAACAUUCUAUUGCUUGGAGAUGGUCCACACCACAGCCUCAUGAUCAACACUCCUCUUAAAUCUCAAAGUUCUCACCCAAAGCUCACAGACAACUGCAUCCAUAAGUUUUGUAAGAGCUCCUUGCUACUCUUCUGAAAAGUAAUUUACAUUCGCACACUAAGAAGAAGCCCCAGAAAACCCGAACUAAUUAAACACUAAGGAGAGGUCUCUCCUUGUCAUUCUCUCAAGAUCUUCUCUAGUUCGAUACACCUUAUUAGACCUCUGUCUCACUAAUUUCUGUUUGCUUCCAUAACUAAUUAAAUUGAUGCUGAGCUGGGCAAAAUUCAUAAUCCUGUAGCUAUCUGACCAGUUCAACGUGCAUUUUGCUUUUCUUGCCUGGAUUUCUUGUUCCUAUGGUAUAAAUAUUAUUGACAAACAUAAUCAGGAUUCAUAUUUAAUCAUCUUCUUUCUCCAAGUCAUUUUCCCUUUUGUCUACCUCAAGGAAAAAAAAACCUCAGUCCUGCUAGGCAUUAUUCCAGCAAAGCAGAUAUCAUUCUUCAUGAAAAACCUCAUUUUUCUUCCUUCUAAAGUUUUAAUUUUAUUUGAGCUCAAAUGAUUGCAUGGUUGAUAGACAGAUGGGUAGACAUACACAUGGCCAGAGGGAAGCUAUUAGAGACAAUCUCCUCUGAGCUUUUUUUCUCUUGGUCAACAGUUACCUGAGGCCUAUCAGCUUUUGCCCAUGUUGGCUUAGUGAUGAUAUGGCUCAUAUGUAAACCAGUUCAUCAAAUGUUUGGGAGAUCAUACAUUUCUGGCAGAAAUCAUUAAGUUUGUACGCACAUAUUUAUAAUAUUUCUUAAUUAUUUCAUUCAUUUUAGGUUUCUAACAAGCUGCCCAUUUUCCUUUGCACACCAAAAAUUCCUUCCUUCAAAAUCCAAGCUGGAUUCUUUUAUCACCACAAUAUUUAUUGCUAACUGACCCAUGGAAACUAUUCAGUAUAUAACCCUCUUUUUUUCCUUUGACCACAGUCCAUUUCCCCUGUGUGCAUGUGUUUCUCUCACUCCCUCUAUCUCAUCCCAUCCCAUUAGCUCUCUGUGCUGAAUAGCCUGUUCCAGGACAUCAAACUUUAAUUUAAACAGAAGAUGAUCAAUACGCUUAGCAAAUUGCCCAUGGCAACAUCAGCAGUUUGAAUCAAAGGGUUUUAUAGGUAAUUUAAAGGGCAUUCUCAUUCACUCCCACAAUGUGGUAUAUACCUAUUGCUUGCUUUGCCAAUUACAGCUCAGCUGUCUGAACAAGCGGAGUAAGAGCUUUUUCUCCACACCCAAACUGUGAAAUGGUACGUAGCAGCUACUCUAGGUGGAUAUGAUAGUGUGCCCUGAAACCAAAAAAGGCCGGGCAUCUCAGGAAAAAAAAUCAACAAAGGCUCAUUUAAAAGAAACCAAACUCAUCAGAGCUUAAAAUCAAUAUCAGAACUAAAGAAACAGACAUGUAAAAAGGAAAAGCAUCCAAUCCUCAGUCUAACCCUGUUUUGCUGGUGCUGUACCUUGGGACCAUUGUAUUUUCAUAUGACUGAAGGGAGACUGUAUUUUCACCUGUUUCUGGAGCCUUGCCAGUCUAACUUUUAGAUAUCUUACGUAAAUCCGUGAUGUUUAUGUCAGAGAGAUUGCAGAAGAAAAACUGCUUCUGUAACCCCAGUUUUGAAGACAUCUUAUUUGUACCAAGUGUACACCAACCUGGAUGGUCAUCUUUCAAGUUGCAAAAGCUUUUUUACUAAACUUCUCUUGAGAACAUGAAGAGCUAGUCUGAAUAGACCUGUGAAGGCAAUGAACUUUGGUGAUGGCUAAAGCGAGCUAAUGGCUGUCUGACACAUGGCUUGCUGUUCCAGUGUCUUCCCUUCCUCUUUAGCUUUUGCACUAACAGUAGAUAAAGAUUUAACCAGGGUAUAUACCUACUGCUUUUAUAAAAUUGAGCUAGCAGCUGUCUUUGUUGGAAGAAGAAACCUGCUACUCUAUAUGGGAGAGAGUACAAGAGACGCCAUGAAUACAAGUGUCAGCCAGAGGCCAGCCAGCCUGAGGGGGAAAGCAAAAGGUUCCCAUGAUCUCCUGCAGAGUUCAUGAAAUCUUUUGUUUCAGAGGCUGGUAGUUUCAGUAACCAGAGUGGAUGUAUAGAAAAGGUAUCUACAGAAAAUGGCGGGCUUGGUAUAUAAAUCUAGAAAGUUGUGAUGGUAUGAGAGCAGAGUUUCAUCCACCAUUUAAGUCUGUGACAAGGUGCAAGAUUUGGAUAAUCUAGACCUCCUGAAGGUCCAGCAGAAGGAGCCUGGUAAGACAUUCGCAGCAGAGGAAAUCAACAUCAGACAUACACCAUGGUUUAUCUCUACCCAUUAUCUACUGGGGAAGGCCUCUGGACCAUGUUUCAGAAGCAUAAUCAUAAUGUGCUAUUAUUUGGUAGCAUGUGGGGCCAAUAAGGCUCUUGUAAGAGGAGAUACACAUUUCUAAAGGCGCUUAGCUCCUAGCUGGCUCUAGGUCGGAAAUUACACAAUGGAUUUUGAAAUGUUGGCUUGUUGAAAGUUGUCAUUCAAGUAAUGGAUGUCUUAUUUCCUGUUUUUGCUGAAAGCUAAAGAGAAGCAUAAUUAGCAAGCGAGAAAGCAACCUUGGCAGCCAAACCAAAAAAGCACAGUUUGGGCUCCUGAGCCAAUUAAAAUUGUUUAUGUAACCUAUGAACAAUAUUUUUCUCCACAUCAUUAUAACUGAGAGAAUUCAUCAAAACUCAGUCAGAUUUGCUUGUAAACAACCUGAUCUCUUGUCACACCGUGGGCUAUCAGCUCCCAGGGAAGAACUGAGGGCACCCUGCAAAGUCCAGGACACGUACAAGGAGAAAAAAGAAAAGGUGUGGGACUGAGAGGGGAGGGCCCAACUCCAGACUUUUGGUUCUGGAUGGAUCCCCAACAUUCAGGAAUGACCCCUUCCCUCAGUCUGCUGCUAAUUUUCUAGGGGAAGUAUGGGAAUUCAGAAAGCAAUUGAUGGUGGAAGAUUCCUGACUUUUGAGGUGUCAUUCUCAACAUUUCAGUUGUUUAAUAUUUAUCCAACUUUCACAGUUGUGAAUGGCUCUCACAACUGAAAUAUAUAUUCAUCUUAGAUUACAGAUCUCUUUUUCUGAGCCUCUCUUACAUGUGCAGCAACUGUGUUAUUUCCCUUUUUAUUCUGGAAACUUGCAUUUUAAUAAACCUCUACUAUCUUCCUUUCGAUACUUGAAUCCAUAUCCUGCCUGAUUCCCACAUGGAUGUUCAGAGACUGAGUUUCUCAUGAUGUAAAGUCUGAUGUCUUUUUUUUUUUUUUACCAUAUGUGAGGAAUGGAUUCUUCAGAAAAUCCAAGUGGCUGGACAAAUAUUACUGCUUCUUAGUACAAUGCUCAUCUGCUCCUCUCGUAACAAGUUAUUAUGCUUUUCAUUUGUCUCUGAAUUCUCAUUUUUCA